rnacentral:pre_miRNA from 1 species
AUAACAUUCUUACCAUCAGUCUACCGAGUAAUGUCAUCCGCUCGGUGGAAAAUCUUCCCUUUGUCGU